rnacentral:rRNA from 1 species
UACGUAGGGUGCGAGCGUUACUCGGAAUUACUGGGCGUAAAGCGUGCGUAGGCGGCGCGGUAAGUCGGGUGUGAAAUCUCGGAGCUUAACUCCGAAACUGCAUUCGAUACUGCCGUGCUUGAGGACUGGAGAGGAGACUGGAAUUUACGGUGUAGCGGUGAAAUGCGUAGAUAUCGUAAGGAAGACCAGUGGCGAAGGCGGGUCUCUGGACAGUUCCUGACGCUGAGGCACGAAGGCCAGGGGAGCAAACGGG